UACGUAGGCAGCGAGCGUUGUUCGGAGUUACUGGGCGUAAAGGGUGUGUAGGCGGUUCUUUUAAGUUUGGUGUGAAAUCUCCCGGCUCAACUGGGAGGGUGCGCCGAAUACUGAGGGACUAGAGUACGGGAGAGGAAAGUGGAAUUCCUGGUGUAGCGGUGAAAUGCGUAGAUAUCAGGAGGAACACCGGUGGUGUAGACGGCUUUCUGGACCGUAACUGACGCUGAGACACGAAAGCGUGGGUAGCAAACAGG
rnacentral:rRNA from 1 species